rnacentral:rRNA from 1 species
UGCCAGACUCCUACGGGAGGCAGCAGUGGGGGAUAUUGCACAAUGGGGGGAACCCUGAUGCAGCGACGCCGCGUGAGUGAAGAAGUAAUUCGUUAUGUAAAGCUCUAUCAGCAGGGAAGAAUAAAUGACGGUACCUGAGUAAGAAGCCCCGGCUAACUACGUGCCAGCAGCCGCGGUAAUACGUAGGGGGCAAGCGUUGUCCGGAAUUACUGGGUGUAAAGGGAGCGCAGGCGGGAAGCCAAGUCAGCUGUGAAAACUACGGGCUUAACUUGUAGACUGCAGUUGAAACUGGUUUUCUUGAGUGAAGUAGAGGUUGGCGGAAUUCCGAGUGUAGCGGUGAAAUGCGUAGAUAUUCGGAGGAACACCGGUGGCGAAGGCGGCCAACUGGGCUUUAACUGACGCUGAGGCUCGAAAGUGUGGGGAGCAAACAGGAUUAGAUACCCGAGUAGG